rnacentral:rRNA from 1 species
GACGAACGCUGGCGGCGUGCUUAACACAUGCAAGUCGAACGGAAAGGCCCUGCUUUUGUGGGGUGCUCGAGUGGCGAACGGGUGAGUAACACGUGAGUAACCUGCCCUUGACUUUGGGAUAACUUCAGGAAACUGGGGCUAAUACCGGAUAGGAGCUCCUGCUGCAUGGUGGGGGUUGGAAAGUUUCGGCGGUUGGGGAUGGACUCGCGGCUUAUCAGCUUGUUGGUGGGGUAGUGGCUUACCAAGGCUUUGACGGGUAGCCGGCCUGAGAGGGUGACCGGCCACAUUGGGACUGGGAUACGGCCCAGACUCCUACGGGAGGCAGCAGGGGGGAAUAUUGCACAAGGGGCGGAAGCCUGAUGCAGAAACGCCGCGGGCGGGAUGACGGCCUUCGGGUUGUAACCCGCUUUCGCCUGUGACGAAGCGUGAGUGACGGUAAUGGGUAAAGAAGCACCGGCUAACUACGU